GUGAAUCAUCGAAUUUUUGAACGCAAAUUGCACUCUUUUCGGAGAGUAUGACUGUUUGAGGGUCAGACUAUAAAAAUCGACAUCGUUGCUGUUUCGCGGUGGUGUUCGUCGGUAAUUGGGUCAUCUUAAAUCUUUUUGAUUUAAGCGUCUUAAAGUUUUCUUUUGGUUCCAUGUACGUUUCUAAGAUCUAUUUCUUUAUUUGUUUAUGUUAUCGAUUUUUACUAGACGUGAUCAUCAUAUAGGAUAGAGUUAAUAUUAUUUCAUUAA
rnacentral:misc_RNA from 1 species